CCCAAAUGCUAGCCUUUCUUUUUGUUAUCCACUUUCUUGUUUAUUCCGUUCGAUUUACCGAGACCAGACGAAGGAAAAUUUGAUUCUUGCUUUGAGUUUUUGCUGAUCCAUUCUUGGAACACCGGUUACAAUACAGAGCACGAAGCGAGGUUGAGGCAGUAAGCUUGGGAAGAGCUUGCAGCCAGGAGCUUGAGCAAAAGUUGGUAUUUUUGCUUGUCUAUAAUGUGUAUACCACGGGGUUAUCUGGGUGGUUUUUAAUUUCUUGCUUAACCCAUGCUUGGGCAGUUUAUUUUGCUGUUGUCCCAUGACAUUUUGAUGUGUUUUUCUAUUGUAUAUAUGAUGGGAUCUAGUAGAAAGUCUUUGCAUGGUUUGUAAUGAAAAACUUAGUUAUGCCGCAAACCGCAUGUCUAAUUUUUGGUAGAUGAGCUUAUUUUGUUGUUUAGUUCUUGGUGUAUCGCAGGUCUCCUCAUAUUCGUAUAUUUGCAUCUUUAAAUAUUUUACUUUUUCUGUAACACUAAGUUUUCAACUGCUGCCAGGCUAGUAUGGCUGUUGACUCGUUUUGUUUAAGUGUAUUUGGCAUCUACCGUAUUUCUCUCUUG